rnacentral:misc_RNA from 1 species
UCACGUCUUGCGACGGCAGUUUCACUAGAGUUCCCAGCUUUACCUGAUGGCAACUAGUGAUAAGGGUUGCGCUCGUUGCGGGACUUAACCCAACAUCUCACGACACGAGCUGACGACAGCCAUGCAGCACCUGUGCAAGCUCCCCUUGCGGGGUCGUUACCCUUUCAGGCUUCUAUAACUUGCAUGUCAAGGCCAGGUAAGGUUCUUCGCGUUGCAUCGAAUUGAGCCACAUACUCCACCGCUUGUGCAGGCCCCCGUCAAUUUCUUUGAGUUUUAAUCUUGCGACCGUACUCCCCAGGCGGCACAUUUAACGCGUUAGCUCCGCCACGAGCGGGGUCGAAUCCGCUCACAGCAAAUGUGCACCGUUUACGGCUAGGACUAC